UGAAAAUAAUGCCUAAAACUACUUAGACUGCUUGAACUUGUACUUGUAAUUUGUUCCUAUUUUAGGAUUUGUUUAAUAAUAUGUGCAUGUGUUAUAUAUAUGUAAGUGAUACUUGUUUGUGUAUUUGCAUAGGAAAACCAGCAUAAAACCAUAAAUACUUUACUUGAAAUUAAAACAACCAUUACAUACUACUUUGAAAUGGUUAGCCACUGCAUACCCAUGCAGUGU